GAGAGAGUCGGAGUCACAAAAAGUGCGGGCGCAAUUGGGGGAAAGCCUGCGAGGAAGACUCUGGAGAGAGAGGCUGGGCGGUUCCCCCCCGGCUGCUGCUGCUGCUGCUGCUGCCGCCUCGGGCUUUCUGCCUUUUUUGCAACGCGCCGCGGCUGCCAAGGUCUCCCGGCUGCUGCCCCGCGGCGGAGCGCCUGCCUCGCUCGCUUCCUCGUUGCCUUCUUCGCUCAAAGUCUCUGCUCGCUCCUUCCACGCUUCUCUCCACACACUCACACAACCACCCCCACCCCCCACGCCGCCGCCGCCCGCACUCCCGGCGUGUCCCUCUUCUUUCCACCAACGCGUCCUCCUUUCGAGUGCUACACGCCGAGUUCUAGCCUGGCCACUUGAAACUACACAAGCAAAAACUACAGUAAGUUCCACAGUAGCCUUAUAAAGGGGAUGGUGGUCUGACUCCCCAGCAUUGAAAGAGAUGAGCAUGGAUGCAAAGCAAAAAGGACAAACAGAGAACAGCUACUCCUCAGAAUUGGUUGCAGUCAUCGCCAAUAUCUGGAAACUCCAAGGGAGGAAGACCCCUUGUUGCCAGCCUGGAAGGCCAUGCCAGCAUGCCCAGAUUCCAGCCCAAAAGAGCCAGCAGCAAUUAAGGAAUUGUAGUUGUUCAGAAAGCCAUCAGACUAUUAACUGAAAUAUGGAACACAAGAGGCCAGCUUUUCCUGUGUAUUUUAAAGUACUCUUCUUUGUCUGUGCAUUACCAUGUUAAAUGUUGGUUAAUGUUUUGGUCUCAGGCAUAGGGAAGUGCCACUACUCUAAUUAAGAAACAAAAGUCACUUGCGCAUCCUUUGCUGCUCUUAACUAUUGUUUAUGUCAUGAGCGGGAACAUUUUGUGUUUAUGUGUUGAUGCUCUGUUACAUUCCACAUACCAGCUAGGAAAGGCUUUCUUGUUAAGCCUCAGCAGUGUUCCCAAAGAAGGCAACAUAGACUGGAGAAGUACAUUAGAUAUUUUGACAACCUUGAGCAAAUAUUGCUUCUAUUGUUUUCCAUUCUUUAAAGCAGGCCAUGGUGCACCCCGCUCCCCAAUAUUACCGCCUCUUUGUGUGUUUGGAAUUAUUUAGUAGCUCAAGAAAAGGCUGAAAAAGGAAAACUCCUUUUGUAUUUUGAUAAAUGUCUGUCCAAUUAAUACUGAACUACCCUGUUUCACCGAAAAUAAGACCUAACCUGAAAAUAAGCCCUAGCAUGAUUUGUCAGGAUGCUUGUAAU